rnacentral:rRNA from 1 species
CAAUAGCGUAUAUUAAAGUUGUUGCAGUUAAAAAGCUCGUAGUUGGAUUUCGGGUGGGAGCGAUCGGUCUGGCGCUUAGCGCGAGUACUUGCAUCGUCUCCGGCCAUCCUUGGGGAGAGUCUGUCUGGCAUUAAGUUGUCGGGCAGAGGAUCCUCAUCGUUUACUGUGAAAAAAUUAGAGUGUUCAAAGCAGGCUUAUGCCGUUGAAUAUAUUAGCAUGGAAUAAUAAGAUAGGACUUUGGUACUAUUUUGUUGGUUUGCGCACCAAAGUAAUGAUUAAUAGGGACAGUUGGGGGUAUUCGUAUUCCGUUGUCAGAGGUGAAAUUCUUGGAUUUACGGAAGACGAACUACUGCGAAAGCAUUUACCAAGGAUGUUUUCAUUAA